AUUGAACGCUGGCGGCAUGCCUUACACAUGCAAGUCGAACGGUAACAGGUCUUCGGAUGCUGACGAGUGGCGAACGGGUGAGUAAUACAUCGGAACGUGCCCGAUCGUGGGGGAUAACGGAGCGAAAGCUUUGCUAAUACCGCAUACGAUCUACGGAUGAAAGCAGGGGACCGCAAGGCCUUGCGCGGACGGAGCGGCCGAUGGCGGAUUAGGUAGUUGGUGGGAUAAAAGCUUACCAAGCCGACGAUCUGUAGCUGGUCUGAGAGGACGACCAGCCACACUGGGACUGAGCCACGGCCCAGACUCCUACGGGAGGCAGCAGUGGGGAAUUUUGGACAAUGGGCGAAAGCCUGAUCCAGCCAUGCCGCGUGCAGGAUGAAGGCCUUCGGGUUGUAAACUGCUUUUGUACGGAACGAAAAGACUCUUUCUAAUAAAGAAGGUCCAUGACGGUACCGUAAGAAUAAGCACCGGCUAACUACGUG
rnacentral:rRNA from 1 species